rnacentral:rRNA from 1 species
GUCUUUUUGAUAAUAAUUUAAAGUCUAACCUGCCCAAUGAGGAAUUGAAUGGCCGCGGUAAUUUGACCGUGCAAAGGUAGCAUAAUCAUUAGUUUUUUAAUUGAAAGCUGGAAUGAACGGUUGGACGAGAAAACGACUGUCUCAAUUUAAUUGUAAAUAGAAUUUUAUUUUUGAGUAAGAAAGCUCAAAUUUUUUUAAAAGACGAGAAGACCCUAUAGAAUUUUAUAUUUUUAUAUGUUGGUAAUUUUUAGUAUAUGUUAUUAUAUACAUGUGAAAUUAUUUUGUUGGGGCGACAGAAAAAUUGAAUUAACUUUUUUUAUUUGAUAACAUUGAUUUAUGAAUAUAGGAUCCAUUUAAGUAUGAUUAUAAGAUUAAAUUACCUUAGGGAUAACAGCGUAAUUUUUUUUGAGAGUUCUUAUCGAAAAAAGAGUUUGCGACCUCGAUGUUGGAUUAAAAUUAACUUUUGGUGCAGAAGCUAAAAGGUUAGGUCUGUUCGACCUUUAAAAUUUUACAUGAUCUGAGUU